UACGUAGGAUGCAAGCGUUGUCCGGAAUUACUGGGCGUAAAGGGCGCGCAGGCGGUGUGCCAAGUCAGAUGUGAAAUACUCCGGCUUAACCGGAGGGGGUCGUUUGAAACUGGCAGACUAGAGUACAACAGAGGAUAGUGGAGUUCCCGGUGUAGUGGUGAAAUGCGUAGAGAUCGGAAAGAACACCAACGGCGAAAGCACUCUACUGGGCCAAUACUGACACUGAGAGACGAAAGCUAGGGGAGCGAAUGGG
rnacentral:rRNA from 1 species